AAAAAUAAAUAAAAAUAAUACAGUAUAAGAAGUUGAAAACAUUGGCUAUAUGUUUGGGACGAGUUCUACUGAACCGAAUUUUAAGUUCCACUUGUUACGCCUCGAAAUGCAGGCGUUGUAUAAAAGACGUGGAAAUCUGUGAUUUGCCGUUGUAAACUGACUAGAGGGACACCACGUCUAAAACUCCCCCGGGACUUUAAUUAAUUAUUUCUUUUCAUUGACUCAUUGUAUUGGUUGCCGCUGUCGUCGUGUUGCUGUCCUACAUGGUUAAGUUCCCUACCGGACCUUUCUAUAAGGAGGAUGUUAUAUUCGCGUUUUUAUGAAAUACAAAACAACGGCG